GACGAACGCUGGCGGCGUGCCUAAUACAUGCAAGUCGAGCGAGCGGAACUAACAGAUUUACUUCGGUAAUGACGUUAGGAAAGCGAGCGGCGGAUGGGUGAGUAACACGUGGGGAACCUGCCCCAUAGUCUGGGAUACCACUUGGAAACAGGUGCUAAUACCGGAUAAGAAAGCAGAUCGCAUGAUCAGCUUUUAAAAGGCGGCGUAAGCUGUCGCUAUGGGAUGGCCCCGCGGUGCAUUAGCUAGUUGGUAAGGUAAAGGCUUACCAAGGCGAUGAUGCAUAGCCGAGUCGAGAGACUGAUCGGCCACAUUGGGACUGAGACACGGCCCAAACUCCUGCGGGAGGCAGCAGUAGGGAAUCUUCCACAAUGGACGCAAGUCUGAUGGAGCAACGCCGCGUGAGUGAAGAAGGUUUUCGGAUCGUAAAGCUCUGUUGUUGGUGAAGAAGGAUAGAGGUAGUAACUGGCCUUUAUUUGACGGUAAUCAACCAGAAAGUCACGGCUAACUACGUG
rnacentral:rRNA from 1 species